GCAGAGGGAAGCUCAUUGGUAGGGCCAUGAGCUGAGUGCCUUGUGUCACUCUACCCCAUUUUCCCUGGGAAGAUCUGAGACUAGGGCCAAAAGCAGCCCUAGUAGAGUCCUCCCUGAAUUCAAAAAAAUAAAAGGUGGAUUUGGGGAAUUUCACUUGUACCUCUUACUCCCCAAGAUGUUGAUUAUCAUAGAAAAAAGUUGGGCAGACAACCCAAAAGGUGCUUUCCCUAC
ensembl:ribozyme RNaseP_nuc Nuclear RNase P